AAUCAACGCUGGCGGCGUGCCUAACACAUGCAAGUCGAACGAGAAAGUGGAGCAAUCCAUGAGUAAAGUGGCGCACGGGUGAGUAACACGUGACUAACCUACCCUUGAGUGGGGGAUAACCUCGGGAAACCGGGGCUAAUACCGCAUAAUAUCGAGAGAUCAAAGGAGCAAUUCGCUUAAGGAGGGGGUCGCGGCUGAUUAGCUAGUUGGUGAGGUAAUGGCUCACCAAGGCAUGAUCAGUAUCCGGCCUGAGAGGGCGCACGGACACACUGGAACUGAAACACGGUCCAGACUCCUACGGGAGGCAGCAGUGGGGAAUUUUGCGCAAUGGGGGAAACCCUGACGCAGCAACGCCGCGUGGAGGAUGAAGUCCCUUGGGACGUAAACUCCUUUCGAUCGGGACGAUAAUGACGGUACCGAGAGAAGAAGCCCC
rnacentral:rRNA from 1 species